rnacentral:rRNA from 1 species
AUUGAACGCUGGCGGCAGGCUUAACACAUGCAAGUCGAGCGGAGAUGAGGUGCUUGCACCUUAUCUUAGCGGCGGACGGGUGAGUAACGCUUAGGAAUCUGCCUAUUAGUCGGGGACAACAUUCCGAAAGGAAUGCUAAUACCGCAUACGCCCUACGGGGGAAAGCAGGGGAUCUUCGGACCUUGCGCGAAUAGAUGAGCCUAAGUCGGAUUAGCUAGUUGGUGGGGUAAAGGCCUACCAAGGCGACGAUCUGUAGCGGGUCUGAGAGGAUGAUCCGCCACACUGGGACUGAGACACGGCCCAGACUCCUACGGGAGGCAGCAGUGGGGAAUAUUGGACAAUGGGCGGAAGCCUGAUCCAGCAAUGCCGCGUGUGUGAAGAAGGCCUUUUGGUUGUAAAGCACUUUAAGCGAGGAGGAGGCUACCUGGAUUAAUACUCUAGGAUAGUGGACGUUACUCGCAGAAUAAGCACCGGCUAACUCUGUGCCAGCCGCCGCCGUAAAAC